UACAGAGGGUGCAAGCGUUGUUCGGAAUUAUUGGGCGUAAAGCGCGUGUAGGCGGCUUUGCAAGUCGGGUGUGAAAUCCCUCAGCUUAACUGAGGAAGUGCGCCCGAAACUGCCGAGCUUGAGUACCGGAGAGGGUGGCGGAAUUCCCCAAGUAGAGGUGAAAUUCGUAGAUAUUCGCAGGAACACCAGUGGCGAAGGCGGCUUACUGGUCCAUAACUGACGCUGAGGUGCGAAAGCGUGGGGAGCAAACAGG
rnacentral:rRNA from 1 species